rnacentral:rRNA from 1 species
UAAGGAAUAUUGGUCAAUGGACGCAAGUCUGAACCAGCCAUGCCGCGUGCAGGAUGAAAGCCCUCUGGGUUGUAAACUGCUUUUAUACGGGAAGAAACCCUGAUACGUGUAUCAGAUUGACGGUACUGUAAGAAUAAGGACCGGCUAACUUCGUGCCAGCAGCCGCGGUAAUACGAAGGGUCCAAGCGUUAUCCGGAUUUAUUGGGUUUAAAGGGUGCGUAGGCGGCUUUUUAAGUCAGUGGUGAAAGCCUUCAGCUUAACUGAAGAACUGCCAUUGAUACUGAAGAGCUUGAGUAUAUUUGAGGCUGGCGGAAUGUGUCAUGUAGCGGUGAAAUGCUUAGAUAUGACACAGAACACCGAUUGCGAAGGCAGCUGGCUAAACUAUAACUGACGCUGAUGCACGAAAGCGUGGGGAGCAAACAGGAUUAGAUACCCCGGUAGUCC